rnacentral:rRNA from 1 species
AAUGGGUCAGCGACUUAUAUUCUGUAGCAAGGUUAACCGAAUAGGGGAGCCGGAGGGAAACCGAGUCUUAAUUGGGCGUUAAGUUGCAGGGUAUAGACCCGAAACCCGGUGAUCUAGCCAUGGGCAGGUUGAAGGUUGGGUAACACUAACUGGAGGACCGAACCGACUAAUGUUGAAAAAUUAGCGGAUGACCUGUGGCUGGGGGUGAAAGGCCAAUCAAACCGGGAGAUAGCUGGUUCUCCCCGAAAGCUAUUUAGGUAGCGCCUCGUGAAUUCAUCUCCGGGGGUAGAGCACUGUUUCGGCUAGGGGGCCAUCCCGGCUUACCAACCCGAUGCAAACUGCGAAUACCGGAGAAUGUUAUCACGGGAGACACACGGCGGGUGCUAACGUCCGUCGUGAAGAGGGAAACAACCCAGACCGCCAGCUAAGGUCCCAAAGUCAUGGUUAAGUGGGAAACGAUGUGGGAAGGCCCAGACAGCCAGGAUGUUGGCUUAGAAGCAGCCAUCAUUUAAAGAAAGCGUAAUAGCUCACUGGUCGAGUCGGCCUGCGCGGAAGAUGUAACGGGGCUAAACCAUGCACCGAAGCUGCGGCAGCGAACGUAUCACUUAAAGCGAUUCAGCGGGUUACGAUUGACGGAGCGAAGCGACGUCAAAGCGUAUACAAAGUCGAGUCGGUU